UACGAAGGGGGCUAGCGUUGUUCGGAAUUACUGGGCGUAAAGCGCACGUAGGCGGACAUUUAAGUCAGGGGUGAAAUCCUGGAGCUCAACUCCAGAACUGCCUUUGAUACUGGCGAUCUUGAGUCCGGGAGAGGUGAGUGGAACUGCGAGUGUAGAGGUGAAAUUCGUAGAUAUUCGCAAGAACACCAGUGGCGAAGGCGGCUCACUGGCCCGGUACUGACGCUGAGGUGCGAAAGCGUGGGGAGCAAACAGG
rnacentral:rRNA from 1 species